UAGUCCACGCUGUAAACGAUGUUCACUCGUUGUUGGCGAUACACAGUCAGCGACUAAGCGAAAGUGAUAAGUGAACCACCUGGGGAGUACGAUCGCAAGGUUGAAACUCAAAGGAAUUGACGGGGGCCCGCACAAGCGGAGGAGCAUGUGGUUUAAUUCGAUGAUACGCGAGGAACCUUACCUGGGCUUAAAUGUAGAAUGCAUGACGUGGAAACACGCUUCCCUUCGGGGCUUUUUACAAGGUGCUGCAUGGUUGUCGUCAGCUCGUGCCGUGAGGUGUCGGGUUAAGUCCCAUAACGAGCGCAACCCCUACCAUUAGUUGCCAUCAGGUCAAGCUGGGGACUCUAGUGGAACUGCCUGCGCAAGCAGAGAGGAAGGUGGGGAUGACGUCAAAUCAGCACGGCCCUUAUGUCCAGGGCUACACACGUGCUACAAUGGUCGGUACAGAGGGAAGCUACACAGCGAUGUGAUGCCAAUCUCCAAAGCCGAU
rnacentral:rRNA from 1 species